UGCAAAAAUUGAUAAGGCACAACCCAUUUA
rnacentral:piRNA from 1 species